AGAUUUUCAAGACUAUAUGGAACCUGAAGAAGGUUGUCAAGGUUCCCCACAGAGAAGAGGCCCUCUGACCUCAGGCUCCGAUGAAGAAAAUGUUGCCCUGCCUCUGGGUGACAGUGUGCUGACUCAUAACCUGGGGAUCCCGGUGUUGGUGGUGUGCACAAAGUGUGAUGCGGUGAGUGUCCUGGAGAAGGAGCACGAUUACAGGGAUGAGCAUUUGGACUUUAUCCAGUCACACCUGCGGAGGUUCUGCCUUCAGUGUAUCCUUUGGGCGCUGUGUGGGGCCUGGGUCACAGGCUUUCUUCCAAAUGGGGCAUCUUCAAAGAGAUAAAGCACCUCCCAAACCCAGAAUAGUGUUCUGCCAAAGAGAAUUUGUACAUAUCUUUUUACUAGGUUUAUGUUUUACUGUAUCGGAGUUUUAGGUUUAUUAACUUGUAUCUACCUUUGAUCACUCAUUUGUUUGUUUGUUUGUUUGUUUGUUUUAAGAUGGUGUUUCACCACUUUG
rnacentral:sRNA from 1 species